UCCAUCUCUGAUCCGCUGCAGUCCGGCUCCGUGCACUCUUGUCCGUCAACACCCACCGGUUGCGUUUUCAGAAGCAGCACUGCCAGACAGCUAUAACUCGCCCUUGCACAGCGGUGUAAUGAUCGAGUGCACAUUAAACCUGACAGCACCAAGAAGACUUAAACAAACCGGUGGCCCGCCAUCUUGGACAAUACACAAUACAAAGAACAACGUUUUCCAUGCACAGGAACAACGUCCCUCUCCCUCUUCAGGAGGAGGGAUGAAGAUUGACUCAGUGAAUCUGACCUGCACACAGAGGAACUGAACGAGAGCUUCUAUGUUGUCUGUUUGUUUCCACUCAGCCACAGUGAAAAAGCUGACGGGAUUGUCAUCGCCCUUCCAUGCAUCCAGGUUGAUCUGUAGGCCAAACCCACUAACCCCAAAGCCCGGUGGGGGUUAGUGGGUGACCCCCAGUGUUUUUUAACCUCUGAACAGUUUUUCGAUUCUGUGCAACAGGAAGAGUUUCUCAGCAAUGCUACAAUUUAAAGGCUGCAUGACGACGUGUUGGUGUUGAACCCCAGCGUAUCAAAGACGUGGACACAGUUUCUUGUCUCAAAAGAGAAGGCACCAUGAAAGUGACUAAAACCUGUAUUCUUUCUAAUGGCCA